rnacentral:rRNA from 1 species
CAGUAGCGUAGAUUAAAGUUGUUGCAGUUAAAAAGCUCGUAGUUGAAGCUCUGCAGAGAGUACUUGUCCACGGAUGAGAACAUCCGUCUGAUUCUUCAGACACUUUACCUUGAGCAAAUUAGAGUGUUCCAGGCAGGCGUCAGCCUGAAUAGUCCAGCAUGGAAUAAUAGAAAAGGACGAAGAGCCACUGUUGGUGCGUGGCCCUUAGUAAUGAUAAAUAGGGAUAGUUGGGGGCAUUCGUAUUUAAUUGUCAGAGGUGAAAUUCUAUGAUUUAUUAAAGACGAACCUAUGCGAAAGCAUUUGCCAAGGAUGUUUUCAUUAA